ensembl:lncRNA
UUUCUGUUUAUUGUUUAUUACAGUUUUCACCUGACAUACAGUUUUCACAUUUGGAAAUAUCAAUAAAGGCUGUUUGGCACGUCUGCGCUGAACCCAGCUCCGGCCACGCCCCCUUUUCGAAAUCCACUCAUCUUCCCAAUCUCCUGCAUCAGUCAGAAUCGUGUUUAUUGGCCAAGUGAAGAGUGCAGGAAGUGCAGAGAUAAAUAUUAAAUGGUAAAAAGAAAAUGACGUAAGAGGGAGAAGAGAAAUCUGUGUGUGUGCAUGAGCUUGUGUGGAAAAGUGUGUGUGCCCUUCAAUGAUAUCGAGAACCUAGAGUCUUGAACACAGGGGCAUUGCACACAGUCACAGUCACCAGAUUUCCUGUGUUAGACUUUACCUCUGUGCUUUGCCCGUGUUAGACUUUAUCGUCUGUGCUUUGCCCGUGUUUGGACAUUAUCGUCUGUGCUUUGCCCGUGUUUGGACAUUAUCUUCAGGGUUUCAGUUCUUUGUGCUUUGGAAUCCCGUUAUUUGUGUUACUCCAGCGACUGCCUCUAUUUUGGGACUGUUUCUCGAAUGUGUGGGUGUCAUUCGCUCUCGCUGCAACCGGUUCCUCUUGGUGCAUCCAGGUCCAUCGAACUGUUUUUAUUUGUAUCCAAUUUUUGCUCGGCGUUUGACCGGUUUGGCGCUAAACGGUUGACUAUUUGUGGAUAAACAAAGCAUUUAAGAGGAAAGGACUUCUCUGUCGGACAGCAUCAUGUGGAUCUUGAUCCUCAUACCAUUUUUGCUUGCAGAGCCCUCGACCUCAACCUCGCUAGAUUUAACACAAGCAAAAGGCUUGCUCAACACUACUGUGAAGUUGCCUUGUGAAAAGCCGUGUCAUGGUGUUGUGAAAUGGGUGAAGGUGAGAUCCCCUCCUUCCCAAACGAUUGCUCACUGUGAAAACGGAACCUGUGCUGAUUUUGGGAACAAAGCCACAGUCGGCCUCUCUGGGAACAUCUUCCUCUUGCUCCCUCAAGCAGCACUCAGUGAUGAAGGAGGGUAUGAAGGCCACUGUGAUGGUAAAGUUAUUUGUGACGUCACACUGGAGCUUUUAGCUCAUCACAACACUGCGGAGGUCCGUAUAGGUGACGCCCUGUUCAUUGGUCUUCUAAGUUCAGAGCCAGUGAGAGUGACGUUCCGUAAGGCCAGUCACUCCACUGAUGACUUGGUGUGUGUCGUAGAGGGAGCUGUGCCCUUAUGCGUUAGAGAAUACAGCAGGAGAUCUUCUGUCCAGGACUACACUGUGACCUUUACUAACGUGACUGAAUCCGAUGAAGGAGUUUUCACUGUGAGAGACAGCAACACCAUGCGGAGGCUCAACAUCGUGAAGCUUACCAUCAAAGAUGGGUUACAAAAUAAGAUGAAUGAAGAUGUUGGUACUUUUAAGGACAACGUAAAUGUGCCUGUCCCAGACACUUGGCAGUUCUCCAUUCCGUGGGAAAUCGCUCUGUUCAUCGGGGGUUUCAUCCUGAACAUAUUCCUCUGGAAAAUCCUAGCAUUUGGCAAGAGAACAUAUACUAGGAUAAGAAACACAUUCUCUCCUCCUCCACAACCGGAAGAGACACUUGGGCUAGCCCCGUUUCCAGGAACCAACAGAUCGUCAAUCCAAAGGAUGAGAGCAGAAGAAUCAGCGCUGGGCCCUGGGCCUGUUCAAACAAAGGAUGUUGUCCACUCAUUGCAGUGAUGUGCAUCGGGACCAUUUAAAGGAUGUUGUCCACUCAUUGCAGUGAUGUGCAUCUGGACCAUUUAAAGGAUGUUGUCCACACAUUGCAGUGAUGUACAUCGGGAUAUAAAGGAUGUUGUCCACACAUUGCAGUGAUGUGCAUCUGGACCAUUUAAAGGAUGUUGUCCACACAUUGCAGUGAUGUGCAUCGGGAUAUAAAGGAUGUUGUUCACACAUUGCAGUGAUGUGCAUCAGGAUAUAAAGGAUGUUGUCCACACAUUGCAGUGAUGUGCAUCGGGACCAUUUAAAGGAUGUUGUCCACACAUUGCAAUGAUGUGCAUUGGGACCAUUUAACCCUUUGAUGCCAGCCCCCAAAAUGACCGAUUUGGGGCGCUUUCAUUUAAAACAGUGAUGUAAAGACACUUUGUAACAUGUUAAUGUGUGAUAUCUCAUUCAAAGCUAAUAGUAACACAGCACAAUUUUUUUUCAUUAUUCAAUGGAAUUUCAAUGUAUGCAAAUGUUUAAUGUGCAAAUCAAUACAAUACAACAAUACACCACAAUAUAUACAAUAUUAUGUGAAAAUAUGAUAAAAAGUAAAACAAUGAAUGAACUGGUCAAGGAAAGCUUUGACUUUUCUCAGCUUAUCAUUUCCAUCCUCAGCACUGGGGUCCACUACAUGUAACAUGGCCAUUAGGGCCUUGAACCGCUCCCAUGACAUAGUAGACCUUGCCCAAAGCCCAUGGUACAGGGUCUUCAUGCUCCAGUAUCGAUGGAAAGAGCUAACAUCCAUCAGACCACAAUAUAUUAGGGCAAUCAUUUUUUGUAUUUUUUCCAGUCCAUACCCCAGUCUUGUCAGCAUAUGACUGCUUGUCCUCAAUGACACCCCAUGCAUAUGAGUUAGUGUGGGAACAAUUGUCUUGAAGGAUAUGCACAAAAGAAAACCCGUAGCACAUGUCAUAGUCCCCCUAAGAACCGGUGUCACUAAAUUAAUGCUAGCAGGUCUUCUUGGUGAGAAAUCUGGAAGCUGAUUUGGGUUAUCUGGGUCAUCAUAGCUGCUGUGUCCUGUGUGCUGAUUCUGUACUGGUCCAACUCUCCUGGCUUGUCGGCCUCUUGCCCCUUUCCCUCUUGCUCUCACACCUCUCCCUCUCGCUGGUCUUGGUUUCGCUGGCAGAUUUUCAGAAGCACCCUCAUCGCUGCUCUCUUCGUGGCUAAUAUCGCCAGUACCUAAGCUGAAAACCAAUUGAUCAGAAAAAGAACCAGUUCAUUUUCUAUUCUUCUUUUACACACAUAUAUAUAUAUUAUUGUAUGUAUGUAUGUGUGUAUAUAUAUAUAUAUAUAUAAUAUAUAUAUAUUAUUGUACAGACGUGAAAUUACAAGCACACAAAACCUUGAUGUCUCAUCAACAACGAAAUAUUGACAGAACUACACUAAAACCAUAAGUAACCGUCAAAAGUGUUCAUGAAUUAGGUUAGAAUAAUAUCUUGAAAGGAAAAUAAAUACUCCUUGCUAUGUAUGUAUGUAUGUUAA